AUGAGUCACACAAUGAAGUUAUGGGAAAGAGUAGUGGAGGCUAGGCUGAGGUCAGAAGUGAGCAUUUGUGAGCAGCAGUAUGGUUUCAUGCCAAGAAAGAGCACCACAGAUGCAAUAUUUGCUUUGAAAAUGCUGAUGGAGAAGUACAGAGAAGGCCAGAAGGAGCUGCAUUGUGUCUUUGUAGAUUUGGAAAAAGCGUAUGACAGGUUGCCGAGAGAGGAGCUGUGGUUUUAUAUGAGGAAGUCUGGAGUGGCAGAGAAGUAUGUUCGAGUGGUGGAGGACAUGUAUGAGAGCUGUAAGACAGUGGUGAGGUGUGCUGUAGGGGUGACAGAGGAGUUCAAGGUGGAGGUGGGACUGCACCAAGGAUCGGCUUUGAGCCCCUUCUUGUUUGCUGUGGUGAUGGACAGGCUGACAGAUGAGGUUAGACAGAAAUCUCUGUGGACCAUGAUGUUUGCAGAUGACAUUGUCAUCAGUAGUGAGAGCAGGGAGCAGGUGGAGGAAAAUCUAGAGAGGUGGAGGUUUGCUCGGGAAAGGAGAGGAAUGAAGAUUAGCCGCAGUAAAACAGAGUACAUGUGUAUAAAUAAGAGAGACUCAAUUAGAACGGUGAGGUUACAGGGAGCAGAGGUGAAGAAGGUGGAGGAUUUUAAGUACCUAGGGUCAACAGUCCAGAGCAACGGAGAGUGUGGAAAGGAAGUGAAGAGACGUGUGCAAGCAGGUUGGAACGGGUGGAGGAAAGUGUCAGGUGUGAUGUGUGACAAAAGAGUGUCAGCAAGAAUGAAAGGAAAGGUGGACAAGACAGUGGUGAGACCAGCAAUGUUGUAUGGUUUAGAGACAGUGGCACUGAGAAAAAGACAGGAGGCAGAGCUGGAGGUAGCAGAGCUGAAGAUGUUGAGGUUCUCUCUGGGAGUGACGAGGACGGAUAGGAUCAGGAAUGAGUACAUCAGAAGGACAGCUCAUGUUAGAUGUUUUGGAGAAAAAGCCAGGGAAGCCAGAUUGAGAUGGUUUGGACAUGUUCAGAGGAGGGACAGUGAAUACAUUGGUAAAAGGAUGCUGAGGUUAGAGCUGCCAGGCCUAGAGGAAGACCAAAGAGGAGGUUCUUGGAUGUAG
rnacentral:lncRNA from 1 species